rnacentral:rRNA from 1 species
AACGAUGAAGCCCUUCGGGGUGGAUUAGUGGCGAACGGGUGAGUAACACGUGGGCAAUCUGCCCUGCACUCUGGGACAAGCCCUGGAAACGGGGUCUAAUACCGGAUAUGACCGUCCAUCGCAUGGUGGAUGGUGUAAAGCUCCGGCGGUGCAGGAUGAGCCCGCGGCCUAUCAGCUAGUUGGUGAGGUAGUGGCUCACCAAGGCGACGACGGGUAGCCGGCCUGAGAGGGCGACCGGCCACACUGGGACUGAGACACGGCCCAGACUCCUACGGGAGGCAGCAGUGGGGAAUAUUGCACAAUGGGCGAAAGCCUGAUGCAGCGACGCCGCGUGAGGGAUGACGGCCUUCGGGUUGUAAACCUCUUUCAGCAGGGAAGAAGCGAAAGUGACGGUACCUGCAGAAGAAGCGCCGGCUAACUACGUGCCAGCAGCCGCGGUAAUACGUAGGGCGCAAGCGUUGUCCGGAAUUAUUGGGCGUAAAGAGCUCGUAGGCGGCUUGUCACGUCGGUUGUGAAAGCCCGGGGCUUAACCCCGGGUCUGCAGUCGAUACGGGCAGGCUAGAGUUCGGUAGGGGAGAUCGGAAUUCCUGGUGUAGCGGUGAAAUGCGCAGAUAUCAGGAGGAACACCGGUGGCGAAGGCGGAUCUCUGGGCCGAUACUGACGCUGAGGAGCGAAAGCGUGGGGAGCGAACAGGAUUAGAUACCCUGGUAGUCCACGCCGUAAACGGUGGGCACUAGGUGUGGGCAACA